rnacentral:misc_RNA from 1 species
GAUGAAGAACGUAGUAAAAUGCGAUACUUGGUGUGAAUUGCAGAAUCCCGUGAACCAUCGAGUUUUUGAACGCAAGUUGCGCCCGAAGCCUUUUGGCCGAGGGCACGUCUGCCUGGGCGUCACGCAUCGCGUCGCCCCCCACAAUUCUCCGUAAAGGGAACGUGUGUUUUGGGGGCGGAUAUUGGUCUCCCGUGCUCAUGGCGUGGUUGGCCGAAAUAGGAGUCCUUUCGAUGGACGCACGAACUAGUGGUGGUCGUAAAACCCCUCGUCUUUUGUUUCGUGCUGUUGCUCGCAAGGUAAACUCUUUAAAAACCCCAAUGUGUCGUCUCUUGACGACGCUUCGACCGCGACCCCAGGUCAGGCGGGACUACCCGCUGAGUUUAAGCAUAUCAAUAAGCGGAGGA